UACGUAGGCAGCAAGCGUUGUUCGGAAUUACUGGGCGUAAAGAGUGUGUAGGCGGUGCUCUAAGUUCGGUGUGAAAUCUCCCGCUUAACUGGGAGGGUGCGCCGGAAACUGGAGUGCUCGAGCGUGGGAGAGGAAAGCGGAAUUCCUGGUGUAGCGGUGAAAUGCGUAGAUAUCAGGAGGAACACCUGCGGUGUAGACGGCUUUCUGGACCAUUGCUGACGCUGAGACACGAAAGCGUGGGUAGCAAACAGG
rnacentral:rRNA from 1 species